rnacentral:rRNA from 1 species
GACAGAGGGUGCAAACGUUUGUUCGGAAUUACUGGGCGUAAAGAGCUCGUAGGCGGUUUGUUGCGUCGGCUGUGAAAUCCCGAGGCUCAACCUCGGGUCUGCAGUCGAUACGAGCAAACUAGAGUGUUGCAGGGGAGACUGGAAUUCCUGGUGUAGCGGUGAAAUGCGCAGAUAUCAGGAGGAACACCGGUGGCGAAGGCGGGUCUCUGGGCAAUAACUGACGCUGAGGAGCGAAAGCGUGGGGAGCGAACAGG